UAUUGGUGGUGCUAUGAAGCCUACAACUGAUGGACGUUGGGCUCAUCUUGCUUGUGCCAUUUGGAUACCAGAAACUUGCUUAUCCGACAUAAAGAAAAUGGAGCCAAUUGAUGGUUUGAGCAGGAUCAACAAGGACCGCUGGAAGCUCUUGUGUAGUAUCUGUUCUGUUCCUUAUGGAGCUUGCAUUCAGUGCUCAAACCCUGUGUGUAGGGUGGCUUAUCAUCCUCUUUGUGCACGUGCUGCUGGCUUCUGUGUUGAGCUUGAGGAUGAAGACAGAUUGCAUUUAAUCCCUAUGGAUGACGAUGAACUAG
rnacentral:misc_RNA from 1 species